AUUGAACGCUGGCGGCAGGCCUAACACAUGCAAGUCGAGCGGAAGCAGGGAGCUUGCUCCUGCUUUCCGCGGGGGAGGGGUGCGUGAUGGCUAUGUAUCUGACUGGUCGCGGUGGAUGACGUGAGGAAAUGGGAGCUCAUACUGCAUCCGCCUAGAGGGAGAAAGGGAGAGAUCUUGGCAUCUUGGGCUCUUGCCUGAGUCUAGGUCGGAUUAGCUAGUUGGUGGGGUAAAGGCCUACCAAGGCGACGAUCCGUAUCUGGUCUGAGAGGAUGAUCAGCCACACUGGAACUGAGACACGGUCCAGACUCCUACGGGAGGCAGCAGUGGGGAAUAUUGGACAAUGGGCGAAAGCCUGAUCCAGCCAUGCCGCGUGUGUGAAGAAGGUCUUCGGGUUGUAAAGCACUUUAAGUGGGGAGGAAGGGCAGUAAGUUAAUACCUUGCUGUAUUGACGUUACCAACAGAAUAAGCACCGGCUAACUUCGUG
rnacentral:rRNA from 1 species